ACACAAGCAAGAGAAGAUGAGGUAAAUAAAAUCAAAACGAUCUACUUGAAGUUACAGUCUUGUUCCAUCGCUGCAACUCCCGUACAGACUCGGGAGAGGCAAAGGUCUAGAGCCAUGCGUCCUUCGAAACACGUCCCUGCCAAGCAGCACUGUUUCUUGACACACUGCUCGCUUAACCCGGAAGCCAGCCACACCAAUGUGUCGGAGGAAACACCAUACAGCUCGCUGGUGACCGAAGUCUGUGUCCAUGCGCCCGGCCCGCCACAAUGACUUGCAAGAGCGCGAUUGGACAACGACAUCCUGGCCGGCCAAACCCUCCCCUAACCAGGACAACGCUGGGCCAAUUGCGCGCCGCCUCAUGGGUCUCUCAUAGCCGGCUGCAACACAGCCUGGGGUCAAACCAGGUUCUGUAGUGAUGCCUCUAGCACUGCGAUGCAGCACCACUUUUGGGAGGUGUCUACAUUUGUUUAUGACACAUUUAUUCUAUUAUAGAUACCUUUGCAUACUUUUAAAUUAUAUUACAGUGGUUUGUCCUUUAAAAGUUGCAAUGUACUGCAGCACAGCUUGCAUGA